rnacentral:rRNA from 1 species
ACUCCUGCGGGAGGCAGCAGUGGGGAAUAUUGGACAAUGGGCGCAAGCCUGAUCCAGCCAUGCCGCGUGAGUGAUGAAGGCCCUAGGGUUGUAAAGCUCUUUCACCGGUGAAGAUAAUGACGGUAACCGGAGAAGAAGCCCCGGCUAACUUCGUGCCAGCAGCCGCGGUAAUACGAAGGGGGCUAGCGUUGUUCGGAUUUACUGGGCGUAAAGCGCACGUAGGCGGACUAUUAAGUCAGGGGUGAAAUCCCGGGGCUCAACCCCGGAACUGCCUUUGAUACUGGUAGUCUUGAGUUCGAGAGAGGUGAGUGGAAUUCCGAGUGUAGAGGUGAAAUUCGUAGAUAUUCGGAGGAACACCAGUGGCGAAGGCGGCUCACUGGCUCGAUACUGACGCUGAGGUGCGAAAGCGUGGGGAGCAAACAGGAUUAGAUACCCAGUAGUCCC